CGAAAGCCUGACGGAGCAACGCCGCGUGAGGGAUGAAGGCCUCUGGGCUGUAAACCUCUUUUCUCAAGGAAGAAGAUCUGACGGUACUUGAGGAAUAAGCCACGGCUAAUUCCGUGCCAGCAGCCGCGGUAAUACGGGAGUGGCAAGCGUUAUCCGGAAUCAUUGGGCGUAAAGCGUCCGCAGGCGGCCUUGUAAGUCUGCCGUUAAAGCGUGGAGCUUAACUCCAUUUCAGCGGUGGAAACUACAAGGCUUGAGUGUGGUAGGGGCAGAGGGAAUUCCCGGUGUAGCGGUGAAAUGCGUAGAUAUCGGGAAGAACACCAGUGGCGAAGGCGCUCUGCUGGGCCAUAACUGACGCUCAUGGACGAAAGCCAGGGGAGCA
rnacentral:rRNA from 1 species